AUGAACUAUGAAGAUAAGACAGAAUCGGCCUCAAAGCAGUUUAUAAUCUACAAAACAAUGCACCAACUAGUGAUGCCCAGAACGACUUCUCCACUUGGCGUAUCACUGCCGUGUUGCCCGCUGUGCUCCGACCCUUCCUCCCCGCAGUAGAGGCCUGCUGCUGCCGCCUGCUUGCUGACACGGAACUUCCUUGCCGUCGCAGCUGCCUCAUUUUCAGUGCCAGCUGACCCACCGUCUGGACAUAGGACUUUCAGGUCGGUGUACUACAGCUUUUUCUCAAAACUGUUGACGUGUUGUUAAUAUUCACAGGAAGUAUUUUUCUCUGUAUCUAGUUCCUUAUAGAUGAAAGAAUAUUAUUAAGGCAUUUGGAAACACUGGAUUUCUAAAUAUGAGUAAUUAUCAUGUAUAAAGUACAAAAACGUUGCCUUUGAUCUACCAUUGAUUGGUACAAGGUGACAGAUCUCAUAGUGGAGGCUGAAUAGAUACAAACAUGGAGAUUGUGGUUCUUGAACUUAGGAAAAUCACCAUCCAGCUCCCUCACAGAUGUAAUGUAAACUCACAUUCCUCCAGCUCUGUAAGGAAACUAAGGUGAAGGAGGAAACCAAGGGUCAGAAAGAUGGUGAUGAGUCAUGGACCUAGUGCCCAAGAGUGCACUUACAGUUUCUAAUAAUAUAUAUGUAUAUUUAAUUUGAGCAGUGAGCCACAUUAACUAUAAAAGUUUGCAUACAUUAUCUUACUUAGGUUUCCUGGAAUUCCAUUCAUAGUUCAGAAACAUUUGAUCAGUGUAACCCUGACAAGUUCAUUUACCCUUGUAUCUGCCAAGGUUCUUACAGAAUCUACUAUAGGUAAUUGAGUAGAAAGGAAUUUGUUACAGGUAAGUCCGUAUUGUGACUGGAUAUUUUAGUGUCAAAGUGGGAGUACACAUACUUAUGUUGAUGCCUCAUGAGGUUUCUGAACCUGUAUAUUCUGUCUUAAUUGCUGAUUCAGGGUACUAAUUGCUGAUUCAAGGUACAUCUUAUUUUCUGAAAGACAAUUCUAAAAUACCCCAGGUAUGUUUCUCAGCAGAUGGUAUAACUAUCUUCGAAGUUCCUUCCUGUGGUUGGUUUAUAGUUUUACGUGGUUUCUAAGUGGUGAGGAUCAUGACAAGCCAGGGAAUCCUGUGGACAUAAACCCUGUUGCCUUAUUUCUAUUGUAAGAAUAUUGCAUUCUUGAGCAGAACAAGUAUUGGGCAGGAAAACACCUUGCUGAAUACGAUAUCCUAUGAGAAAUAAAUAGUUGCCAUUAACACA
rnacentral:lncRNA from 1 species